GGCGGGCGGGGAAGGGGCCGGUUUGUUUUAUCCGGCUCGGCUUUGGGGAGGCCGUUCAAGGCGGCCCGAAAGGGACCGAAUGGAGAAGAACCGAAUGGAAUUCUAGCACUUGGGUAACGCCCCAGGUGGUCUGAGCUCAGGCUGAAGGACCACACGCCCACGGCCGUGACACCGUUUGGCCCCAGGACGGGAGUCACCACGGACCUGUCUUGUGUCCUUCCCUGGCAGAGAGAAGUGCCUGUCAGUUUGGAACUGGCUGGCGGGUUCCUCAAAACAACUCUGCGUAGUUUCUCGAGGCCCUAGACUGCACUUUUAGUCCAUUCUUUGUGGGUAGUGCUUGAGAGAUGUCCUUAUACAUCCUCCCUUGCCCCGAAUCACGAGACUGAUGACCUGGGAGGAAGGACCUGAUGCCAGCCAGCUCUGUCUUCCCUGGGCAGCCUGUACUCAACAACCAGGCGAACCCCAGUCCCUGUUUUGCCUCUCAGCAGGGUCCAUGAUAGCAGCUUUGUAAAAGUGGGGUCCCAGGAGGAGAGCUUCUUAGACCAAGGAAACCGUACCACCCAAAACUCGCAAUCUUCUUAGGUGAAAUGGGCACAUGAUGCUUGGAGGGAAAGUAGUCAUCUUGAACUGUGAUUUGACCAUGGAAUGGAGGCCAUACCUGGAGGCACAACAAAACAGAAGGAGCCUGAGCCCUGGCACCAUGGAGCAUCGUGACACUGCUGGAUGCUUGCCUCUGGACUUUCACAGGAGAGGGAAAUAAACUACCUUGUAUGUGAUGGCUGGAACUUCUGCAGCUGUAUUGGACCAUGAGGUGACCUAGAAAGUGGAAACCAUUCAAGCUCUGGAUGGCCUACGCCCAGACCGGUUUAAGCGGGAGGGGGAAAAAAUCAAGUUUUAUCUUGUUACAAUUACUUUAGGUUUUUUGUAAUGUGUAUCCAAACAUGUCCAAACCUGAUAUGGUUAUGGUUAAUAUGGUACUGCUUUAUUAUUAUCUGCUUGGUUUGGUAAGUGAGUUUAUAUUUUACAAAUUUCUUUUUUUUAUU